UGGAGCUAAGCGGGAUCGAACCGCUGACCUCCUGCGUGCAAAGCAGGUGCUCUACCAAUUGAGCUAUAGCCCC
rnacentral:tRNA from 1 species